UGCAACUGUCACUAUCUACACGCUUGCAAAAUGUUAGUUACCAACAAUAGAUUACAGGAAAGUUGUGUUUCAGAAACGACCGCAUAUGAUGUAGGAUUACGUUGAGGGAGUGGCUAUGUCGAUUGAAUCCAUCAGCAGUAAGCAAUAAACGCACAAAAUUAUUAGGGAGUGGCUAUGAUCGAUUGAAUCCAUCAGCAAAUGUUCCCGAAAGACGUAAUUCUACGUCAACAAUUUUUGAAUUAAAAACAAAAUACAAAAAAAAAAUAAUUAUGAUUCGUCGACAAAAUUGAAUUUCUUAUAAAAACCAGGACAAUUGCUAAAAUAUGGAAAAUAAAUUAGGACGUCCCAAAAGCAUCUCAAAAUCAGGACAUGUCCUGCUAAAUCGGGACAGACAGUAACUCUAAAAACGAUGCUAUCUGCCAUAAGUAAAAUUUCAAUAGGGCCGUGACUGUGAAAUAUUUAUAAUCAAUUUAAAGA